ACCUGGUUGGCUCAGUUAGUAGAGCAUACAAUUCUUGAUCCUGGGGUUGUGGGUUCAAGCCCCACCUUGGGUG
rnacentral:tRNA from 1 species